rnacentral:rRNA from 1 species
CCUACGGGAGGCAGCAGUGAGGAAUAUUGGUCAAUGGGCGGGAGCCUGAACCAGCCAAGCCGCGUGAGGGAAGAAGGUACAGCGUAUCGUAAACCUCUUUUGUCAGGGAACAAAGGCGGGGACUAGUCCCCGGAUGAGGGUACCUGAAGAAAAAGCAUCGGCUAACUCCGUGCCAGCAGCCGCGGUAAUACGGAGGAUGCGAGCGUUAUCCGGAUUUAUUGGGUUUAAAGGGUGCGCAGGCGGCCUGUUAAGUCAGCGGUAAAAGCCCGGGGCUCAACCCAGGCGAGCCGUUGAAACUGGCGGGCUUGAGUUGGAGAGAAGUACGCGGAAUGCGCGGUGUAGCGGUGAAAUGCUUAGAUAUCGCGCAGAACCCCGAUUGCGAAGGCAGCGUACCGGCUCCACACUGACGCUGAGGCACGAAAGCGUGGGUAUCGAACAGGAUUAGAUACCCCAGUAGUC